rnacentral:misc_RNA from 1 species
UCAGAUACUUGCUAAUUUCAGUAUCAUUUCUUCUUUCACAAUUUAUAACCUGAAAAUUAAUUGAAAUUGUAGAUUAGAAUGUCACGAACGCAAGACAAGAAAAAUCUACGUUGGAGCGAGCCCGUUUUACACCGUCACUUACCUCAGCCAUUGACGUCGGAAAACGAAUCUUCAUCAGUACGGCACUCGCAAUCAACAUCACCAAUGACCAAAUCCUUCGAACAACAGCAACAAAUGACAGCUGGUUGCUGCAUGUGCUGUAACGAGAAGAAGAUUAAAAAAAGUAAAUUAAAAGUAAAGCCACUAGUACAAAAUCUAAGUCGGAAUAAUCUUAGUGGUGAAGCUAAAAGACUUCAAGAGUCCUUAGAGUUGCAGCUUAUUGCAAGCCAAGUUGAUGAGUCACUUGCAAAUGAUAAGCUAAUGGCAUUGAUUCAACAUUUGGAUUUAGCAAUAAGCAUACUUGAAGCUUUACUACAUCAUCUACAGUCGCUUCAAAUGUUACAUUUAUCUGCCAGUAGAAUUUUCAAUUUAGGUCACCAGCUUUCUUCUUCAUCUUCUGAAGAAUCUAAUUUUACUGAAGUUACGAAUUUUAGUUAUCAUCUUCAUCAAGUAUUUUUACUUAUUAAACAGCUUUUAAGUAAAAGAAACUUUAUUUCGGUCUAUUAUAAUAUUUUUAUUUUUUUUAAUCCAGGCAGAAACGCACAAGGAAAAACAGUUACGACAGUUAAAAGAAAUAAUCGAAAUUUGUUCGAUAGACAUGACAGUUACCGAACAGUUUCAAACAAUGGUGAAGAAUCAUUUACUAAAAAGAGAAGACAUGAUAAUUGCGGCGAAAAAUUUCAAAAGUUUACUUUCAAAGUCGAAGUUAAAUUCUUCUCAAAUGAAGAAAUUACUUCGGCAAUACGAGUCUAUUUUAAAUAUCUUUCAAUGCAGUCGUCAAAAUUUGGACAUGGAGUUACCAAAAAUGAUGCGACUGUAGGCAAUUAAUUUCUCUUUCACAAGGACUGCAAAUGAUUACCCAAUUUUACAAUGACCAAGAUACUAAAUUUACAGCAACAUUGUUCAAAUUAAUUGGUGAUUGUGUAUUGCACGAUUUAAGUAAAGUUGCAGGGCACAAAAUAGAACAAGAUAUUUGCCCAAAGUGUAAAGUUAAUCAGGUGGAUAAGAAAUAAGUGUGGUAUUUGGAUUCUAUUUUUAUUUUUAAAAACGAAUGAAACCUUAUUUAUUGACUAUUGAAAUGAUAAUCUACUUAUAGAAAAAUAAUACCAAAUGCUGCUUCACGGUCUCUACGAGGACAAAUAUAUCUAUCUAAUUGAUUUAU